CAUUCCGUCCAAAACACAACAUUAGGGUAGGCGACAUUUAACGUAUAUAUCUAUGGACGCUAACUAGUAUUCACGUAUCAUGCUCAACUCUUAAUAUUCUUUUACGCACUUUGAGAGUGUUUGCGUUAUUUCAGAGAGAUAUUUAAGCACAUAUGAAGUAGCAGUGCCGUCUGUGUACUAUAGUUACACAAUGCAGCAUUUAGCUCGCUCGUAAACAUCGCUGCUGUCCUCAGAUCAUUGUCUGAGCAGAAGUUUCAUCAUAAGCCCUGACUGUCAGAUGCUCUUCAUCUCAGGAGCUGUAUUUUUAUAUGCUUGAUAACAGAUAUAAGCGAGAAGAGGCUUAAUCCAAAGCCCGAGAAGAAGCAGAGAAACAGAGGAUCGAACGAGAGAAACACUUCCAGAAGGAGGAGCUGGAAUGCUUGGAAAGAAAUAAGCGUCUGGAAGAAAUCCUGAAGAGGACUCAUAAGAGUGACGCAGGAGCACACGUGAGAU